GAUGAACGCUGGCGGCGUGCCUAAUACAUGCAAGUCGAGCGAAUGGAUUAAGAGCUUGCUCUUAUGAAGUUAGCGGCGGACGGGUGAGUAACACGUGGGUAACCUGCCCAUAAGACUGGGAUAACUCCGGGAAACCGGGGCUAAUACCGGAUAACAUUUUGAACUGCAUGGUUCGAAAUUGAAAGGCGGCUUCGGCUGUCACUUAUGGAUGGACCCGCGUCGCAUUAGCUAGUUGGUGAGGUAACGGCUCACCAAGGCAACGAUGCGUAACCGACCUGAGAGGGUGAUCGGCCACACUGGGACUGAGACACGGCCCAGACUCCUACGGGAGGCAGCAGUAGGGAAUCUUCCGCAAUGGACGAAAGUCUGACGGAGCAACGCCGCGUGAGUGAUGAAGGCUUUCGGGUCGUAAAACUCUGUUGUUAGGGGAGAACAAGUGCUAGUUGAAUAAGCUGGCACCUUGACGGUACCUAACCAGAAAGCCACGGCUAACUACGUGCCAGCCGCCGCGGUAA
rnacentral:rRNA from 1 species